rnacentral:rRNA from 1 species
UACGGAAGGCAGCAGUAGGGAAUAUUGGGCAAUGGGCGAGAGCCUGACCCAGCCAUGCCGCGUGCAGGAAGAAGGCUUUCUGAGUCGUAAACUGCUUUUGACAGGGAAGAAUAAGGGCUACGUGUAGCCUGAUGACGGUACCUGCAGAAUAAGCACCGGCUAACUCCGUGCCAGCAGCCGCGGUAAUACGGAGGGUGCGAGCGUUGUCCGGAUUUAUUGGGUUUUAAAGGGUGCGUAGGCGGCCCGUUAAGUCCGGGGUGAAGCCCGUUGCUCAACAACGGAACUGCCCUGGAUACUGGCGGGCUUGAGUACAGUGGAGGUUGGCGGAAUGGCCGAGUAGCGGUGAAAUGCAUAGAUACGGUCCAGAACCCCGAUUGCGAAGGCAGCUGACUACACUGGGUACUGACGCUGAGGCACGCAGCGUGGGGAGCGAACAGGAUUGAUACC